rnacentral:snoRNA from 1 species
UGCCUGUGAUGUUCUAACAUUUGUCCGUACCAUCUGAGAAAUUUUUUUUCCUGAUGUAUUCUCUCUAAGUUUUAUUUCUGAGGCAU